GACGAACGCUGGCGGCGUGCCUAAUACAUGCAAGUUGAGCGAUGAAGAUUGGUGCUUGCACCAAUUUGCAGAGCAGCGAACGGGUGAGUAACGCGUGGGGAAUCUGCCUUUGAGCGGGGGACAACAUUUGGAAACGAAUGCUAAUACCGCAUAAUAACUUUAAACAUAAGUUUUAAGUUUGAAAGAUGCAAUUGCAUCACUCAAAGAUGAUCCCGCGUUGUAUUAGCUAGUUGGUGAGGUAAAGGCUCACCAAGGCGAUGAUACAUAGCCGACCUGAGAGGGUGAUCGGCCACAUUGGGACUGAGACACGGCCCAAACUCCUACGGGAGGCAGCAGUAGGGAAUCUUCGGCAAUGGACGAAAGUCUGACCGAGCAACGCCGCGGGAGUGAAGAAGGGUUUCGGAUCGUAAAACUCUGUUGGUAGAGAAGAACGUUGGUGAGAGUGGAAAGCUCAUCAAGUGACGGUAACUACCCAGAAAGGGACGGCUAACUACGUG
rnacentral:rRNA from 1 species